CGUAGGGUGCGAGCGUUAAUCGGAAUUACUGGGCGUAAAGCGUGCGCAGGCGGUUAUGUAAGACAGAUGUGAAAUCCCCGGGCUCAACCUGGGAACUGCAUUUGUGACUGCAUGGCUAGAGUACGGUAGAGGGGGAUGGAAUUCCGCGUGUAGCAGUGAAAUGCGUAGAUAUGCGGAGGAACACCGAUGGCGAAGGCAAUCCCCUGGACCUGUACUGACGCUCAUGCACGAAAGCGUGGGGAGCAAACAGGAUUAGAUACCCUGGUAGUCCACGCCCUAAACGAUGUCAACUGGUUGUUGGGAAUUAGUUUUCUCAGUAACGAAGCUAACGCGUGAAGUUGACCGCCUGGGGAGUACGGCCGCAAGGUUG
rnacentral:rRNA from 1 species